rnacentral:misc_RNA from 1 species
GAUGAAGAACGUAGCGAAAUGCGAUAAGUAGUGUGAAUUGCAGAAUUCCGUGAAUCAUCGAAUCUUUGAACGCACAUUGCGCCUCCUGGUAGUCCGGGAGGCAUGCCUGUUCGAGCGUCACCAAAUCCAACUCAAGCGGUUUUGCGCUUGGUCGUGGCGGAAGAGUCGGUCUGGUUGCCGUCUCCCCUCCGAAAAUCAACGGCGGAAAGUCACUGGCAGUCAGCGUAGUAGUAUCGUUCGCCGAACAUCCAGUGGCAUUCCUGCCGACGUACCCCCACAAUUCUCGUGAUUGACCUCGGAUCAGGUAGGGAUACCCGCUGAACUUAAGCAUAUCAAUAAGCGGAGA